CGUUUAUUCAUUUACUUCCGCUGCAGAUUUCUUGACUGCUGAAUUUCAUGAGAAGGGAUUGUUCAGGGAGGGACAUGGGGCUGAAGACCUGGAGAGGAGGUGGUGCUACCGCUGUUCAAAUCUGAGGGUGGUGGAGAUGGAGCCUUGGGGAGGAGCAGGUGCUGCCUUUUAAGUCUAUGAGAGUCGUUGAGCUGGAGGUCCAGGGAGGAGCCAGUGCUCCCACUGAUGUCUUAGGUUGUGGAGCUGAAGACAAUGAAGGAGCCAGUGUGGCUGUUCUGUGAGACUCGUGGAGCUGGAGAUCCAGGUGGGAGAGGUGUUUUAGCUCGGGGAAGAGCUGAUGUUCUACCUUGAGGGUCGUGCAGCUGCAGACCCGGGGAGGAGCUGAUGUUCUAGAUUGAGGGUCGUGCAGCUGCAGACCCGGGGAGGAGCUGAUGUUCUAGAUUGAGGGUCGUGCAGCUGCAGACCCGGGGAGGAGCUGAUGUUCUAGAUUGAGGGUCGUGCAGCUGCAGACCCGGGGAGGAGCUGAUGUUCUAGAUUGAGGGUCGUGCAGCUGCAGACCCGGGGAGGAGCUGAUGUUCUAGAUUGAGGGUCGUGCAGCUGCAGACCCGGGGAGGAGCUGAUGUUCUAGAUUGAGGGUCGUGCAGCUGCAGACCCGGGGAGGAGCUGAUGUUCUAGAUUGAGGGUCGUGCAGCUGCAGACCCGGGGAGGAGCUGAUGUUCUAGAUUGAGGGUCGUGCAGCUGCAGACCCGGGGAGGAGCUGAUGUUCUAGAUUGAGGGUCGUGCAGCUGCAGACCCGGGGAGGAGCUGAUGUUCUAGAUAGAGGGUCAUGCAGCUGAAGACUCGGGGAGGAGCUGAUGUUGUAGUUUGAGGGUCAUGCAGUUGAGGACUUUGGGAGGAGCUGAUGUUGUUCGUGUUGAGGGUCUUUCAGCUGGGGACUCAGGGAGGAGCUGAUAAUCUUGAUUAAGGGUCAUGGAGCUGGAGACCCAGACAGGAGCUGAUGUUCUAGUUAGUGGAUCUUCCAGCUACAGAGUCAGAGAGGAGCUGAUGUUCUAGAUUGAGGGUCAUGCAGCUGAAUACUCGGGGAGGAGCUGAUGUUGUAGUUUGAGGGUCAUGCAGUUGAGGACUUCGGGAGGAGCUGAUGUUGUUCACGUUGAGGGUCUUUCAGCUGGGGACUCAGAGAGGAGCUGAUAAUCUUGAUUGAGGGUCAUGGAGCUGGAAACCUAGACAGGAGUUGAUGUUCUAGUUAGUGGAUCUUCCAGCUGCAGACCCAGGGAGGAGCUGAUGUUCUAGUUUGAGGGUCGUGCAGCUGAAGACCCGGGGAGGAGCUGAUGUUCUAGAUUGAGGGUCGUGGAGCUGCAGACGCGGAGAGGAGCUGAUGUUCUAGUUUGAGGGUCGUGCAGCUGGAGACCUGGAGAGGAGCUGAUGUUCUAGUUUGAGGUUCUUGCAGCUGCAGACCUGGAGAGGAGCUGAUGUUCUAGAUUGAGGGUCGUGCAGCUGCACACUUGGAGAGGAGCUGAUGUUCUAGAUUGAGGGUCUUGCAGCUGCAGACCUGGAGAGGAGCUGAUGUUCUAGUUUGAGGAUCUUGCAGCUGCAGACCCGGAGAGGAGCUGAUGUUCUACUUUGAGGGUCGUGCAGCUGGAGACCUGGAGAGGAGCUGAUGUUCUAGUUUGAGGGUCAUGCAGGUGAAGACUCGGGGAGGAGCUGAUGUUCUAGUUUGAAGGUCUUGCAGCUGCAGACCUGGAGAGGAGCUGAUGUUCUAGUUUGAAGGUCUUGCAGCUGCAGACCUGGAGAGGAGCUGAUGUUCUAGAUUGAGGGUCGUGCAGCUGAAGACUCGGGGAGGAGCUGAUGUUCUAGAUUAAGGGUCAUGCAGCUGAAGACUCAGGGAGGAGCUGAGGUUCUAGUUUGAGGGUCGUGCAGCUGAAGACUUGGGAGGAGCUGAGAUUCUAGUUUGAGGGUCGUGCAGCAGAAGACUCAGGGAGGAGCUGAUGUUCUAGAUUGAGGGCCCUACAGCUGCAGACCUGAAGAGGUGCUGAUGUUCGAGAUUGAGGGUCGUGCAGCUGAAUACUCGGAGAGGAGCUGAUGUUAUAGUUUGAGGGCCCUACAGCUGAAGACCCGGAGAGUAUCUGAUCUUCGAGAUUGAGGGUCAUGCAGCUGAAGACUCCGGGAGGAGCUGAGUUGCUAAUUUGAGGGUCUUGCAGCUGCUGACUUGGGGAGGAGCUGAUGUUCUAGUUUGAGGGCCCUACAGUUGGAAAUCUGUACAGGAGCUGAUGUUCUAGUUUGAGGGUCAUGCAGGUGAAAAAUCGGGGAGGAGCUGAUAUUCUAGUUUGAGGGCCCUGCAGCUAGAGAUGCAGACAGGAGCUGAUGUUGUAGUUUGAGGGUCGUACAGCUGAAGAUUCAGGGAGGAGCUGCUCGUGUAUUUUUAGGGUCAUGCAGCUGCAGACCCGGAGAGGAGCUGAUGUUAAAGAUUGAGGGUCAUGCAGCUGAAGACUCUGGGAGGAGCUGACGUUCUAAUUUGAGGUCCCUACAGGUGGACACCGAGAGAGGAGCUUAUGUUCUAGAUUGAGGGUCAUGCAGCAGAAGACUCGGGGAAGAGCUGAGGUUGUAGUUUGAGGGUCGUGCAGCUGGAGAACCAGACAGGAGCUGAUGUUGUAGAUUGAGCGUCGUGCAGCUGAAGACUCAGGGAGGAGCUGAUGUUGUUCGUUUUGAGGGUGUUUCAGCUGGAGACUCAGGGAGGAGCUGACGUUCUAGAUUGAGGGUCUUGCAGCUGCAGACCUGUAGAGGAACUGAUGUUCUAGAUUGAGGGUCACGCAGCUGAAGACUUGGGGAGAAGCUGAUGUUCUAACUUGAGGGUCGUGCAGCUGAGGACUCGGGGAGGAGCUGAUGUUGACAGCUGUGCAGCUGGAGAUCCGGCGGGGAGCUGAUGUUCCGGUUUGAGGGCCGGGGAGCUGAUGUUCCAGUUUGAUGGCCGUGCACCUGGAGACCCAGGGAGGAACAUCAAACUGGAACAUCUGCUCCCCGCAGUGCCUCCAGCUGCAUGGCUCCCAAACUGGAACAUCGGUUCCCACCCGGGUCUCCAGCUGCACGGCCCUCAAACUGCAACAUCGGCUAUCCCCGAGUCUCCAGCUGCACGGCCCUCAAACUGGAACAUCAGCUUCUCCCCAAGUCUUUCAGCUGAAUGGCCCUCAAACUGGAACUUCAGCUCCCCACCGGGUAUCCAGCUGCAUGGCCCUCAAACUGGAAGUUCAGCUCCCCACCGGGUCUCCAGCUGCACGGCCCUCAGACUGGAACAUCAGCUCCCCACUGGGUCUCCAGCUGCACGGCCCUCAGACUGGAACAUCAGCUCCCCACCGGGUCUCCAGCUUCACGGCCCUCAAACUGGAACUUCAGCUCCCCAACGGGUCUCCAGCUUCACGGCCCUCAAACUGGAACUUCAGCUCCCCACCGGGUAUCCAGCUGCAUGGCCCUCAAACCGGAAGUUCGGCUCCCCCGCGGGUCUCCAGCUGCACGGCCCUCAGACUGGAACAUCAGCUCCCCGCCGGGUCUCCAGCUGCACGGCCCUCAAACUGGAAUAGUUUGAACUCAGCGGGGAGCUGAUGUUCCAGUUUGAGGGCUGUGCAGCUGGAGACCCGGCAGGGAGCUGAUGUUCCGGUUGUAGGGCUGUGCAGCCGGAGACCCAGGGGGAAGCUGAUGUUCCAGUUGUAGGGCCGUGCUACUGGAGACCCAGGGGUGGAGCUGAUGUUCCAGUUUGAGGGCCAUGCAGUUGAUGACCCGGCGGGGAGCUGAUGUUCAAUUUGAGGGCCAUGCAGCUGGUGACCUGGCAGGGAGCUGAUGUUCCAGUUUGAGGACCGUGCUCCUGGAGACCUAGCGGGGAGCUGAUGUUCCAGUUUAAGGCCAUGCAGCUGUAUGCCCGGGGGGAACUGAUGUUGCAGUUUGAGGGCCGUGCAUCGGGAGACCCGGUGGGGAGCCAGUGUUGCAGGUUGAGGGCCGUGCAGCUGGAGACCCUGUGGGGAGCUGAUGUUCUUGUUUGAGAGCCGUGCAGCUGGAGACCCUGUGGGGAGCUGAUGUUCCUGUUUGAGAGCUGUGCAGCUGGAGAUCUGGUGGGGAGCUGAUGUUCCAGUAUGAGGGCCGUGCGGCUGGAGACCUGGUGGGGAGCUGAUGUUCCAGUUUGAGGGCCGUGCACCUGGAGACCCGGCAGGGAGCUGAUGUUCCAGUUUGAGGGCUGUGCAGCUGGAUACCGGGGGUGGAGCUGAUGUUCCAGUUUGAGGGCCAUGCAUCUGGAGACCCAGUUGGUAGCCAGUGUUGCAGGUUGAGGGCUGUGGAGUUGGAGACCCGGGUUGGGGGGAGCUGAUGUUCCAGGUUGAGGGCCAUGCUGCUGGAGACCCAGCGGGGAGCUGAUGUUGCAGUUUGAGGCGGUGCAGCUGGACAUGCAGGGGGGAAGUGAUGUUGCAAUUUGAGGGCUGUGCAGCUGGAGACCCUGUGGGGAGCUGAUGUUCCUGUUUGAGGGUCUCGGAGCUGAUGUUCCAGUUUAAGGCCAUGCAGCUGGAGACCCGGUGGGGAGCUGAUGUUCCAGUUUGAGGGCCAUGCAUCUGGAGACCCGGUGGGGAGCUGAUGUUGCAGGUUGAGGGCCAUUCAUCUGGAGACCCAGUGGGGAGCUGAUGUUGCAGGUUGAGGGCUGUGCACCUGGAGCCCCGGGGUGGAGCUGAUAUUCCAGUUUGAGGGCCGUGCAGCUGGCAAUCUGGUGGGGAGCUGAUGUUCCAGUUUGAGGGCCAUGCAGCUGGAGACCGGGCAGGGAGCUCAUGUUCCAGUUUGCAGGCAGUGCAGCUGGAGACCCGGCGGGGAGCUGAUGUUCCAGUUUGAGGUCCGUGCAGCUGGAGAUCUGGUGGGGAGCUGAUGUUCCAGUUUGAGGGCCCUGCAGCUGGAGACCCGUGGGGAUCUGAUGUUCCAGUUUGAGGGUGGUGCUGCUGGCGACCCAGGCGGGAGCUGAUGUUCUAGUUUUAGGGCCCUACAGCUGGAGACCCGGGGAGGAGCUGACAUUCCCUUUCGAGGGCUGUGCAGGUGGAGACCUGGGGAGGAACUGAUGUUGUUCUAAUUUGAGUGUGGUGCAGCUGGAGAUCCAGGGAUGAGAUGGCCCUGCGGUUCAAAUAUGAGGGUCCCGGAGCUGGACUCUACGUGAGGAACCAAUGCUGCCUCUGAUGUCUUAGGUUGUGGAGCUGGAAACUCGCGGAGGAGCUGGUAUUGGUGUUUCUAGUUGAGGGUCGUGGUAUUUCCAGGGUUUCACAGAGGCCAGAUUUUAUUUCAGUUACUCAGAAGAGAAAGAAAAUGUCUUCUGAAAGAGGUGAACUCAGUCAUUACCAAUAGAAAAAGUAUCCACUGUAUUUAUCUCUUAUACAAACAGAAAAAUAUAACAUUUUCCCCCUUAGAAUAUAUAUAUAUAUAUAUAUAUAUAUAUAUAUAUAUAUAUAUAUAUAUAUAUAAAACUUAAGGUUCUAUUGUAUGUAUCCGAACAAUAAAAUCUGGAAACCAGCAUGAAACUCUAUUAUUCACAUGUUAAAAUGUUGAAACUAUGACCAAAAUAUGAAAACUGCUGGAGCUAUCAGAAAGACACAAGACAAAAAGCUUCUUGCAUAUGUAUAAACUAAAUGUGAUAAUCUCAAAAAACUGUUCAAAAUUAUAAUUACUUUCCAGUUUAAAAACUUUAAUCCUAAAUUAAAAAAAAAAAUCUAUACACAAACCACUGAUUUGCCCAGACCAAAGAAAGAAAGAAAGAAAGAAAAGAAAGAAAGAAAGAAAGAAAGAAAGAAAGAAAGAAAGAAAGAAAGAAAGAAAGAAAGAAAGAAAGAAAAAGAAAUCAGCGGUAAGGUAAGCAGGACCCAGAGGAGCUGAUAUUCACAGUUCUUACAUGGACAACUCUUUCAGGAAUUAUCCAUAAAGUACUUUAUUUUACAACCUGCUUUUCUUAUAAAACUAAAGGUGCACUUUUUUACAUAAAAGUUUUAUACAGUGUUAAAACCAGAACUGUGUGUAAAAUACUGCAUGUAAAUGUUUCUAAAUAGUCUUGUUCCAGUGGUUCAUCGGUGACUUCUGUGGCUUCGUCAUCAUUAUCCAUGGAUGAUUCUGAAAGAAUCUCUCCAGUUUUACUGGAAUUGGAUCCUACUAAUUCUUCUGUUUCACGGCAGUCAGAAGAACCACUACUUUCAGGGCCUUCGUUUUCACUACCUUCAGAAUGUAGUAAAUCUUUCUCAGCUUGAGACACAUCAGAUUCCUCCAUUUCAUUAUUUUCCUCAGAAGUCUCUUCAUUCACAGUUGAGGCAUCAUCAGAUUCUUUUUCUUGGUUUUUUCUUUCUGGGACCAUUUCUCUUGAUGUCAUAAAAGACUCUAAAAAUAAGCAAAUGUUGUUGUACUUAAAUUUUAUAUUCAAAAUACCUCCACAGUUAAGUUUCGUGAAUUCUGAUGUUCUGUAGUUCAAAUCACAUCCCCUGAAAUUCAGCAGCAACUGCAUACAGGUGGGAGAAAAGCCCAGCGUCGACAUUACAAGGAGUUCCAUGAUGUACAAUUCUUUCACAAAAACAAUGAAUGCAAGAAUUUGAGGAUCUCCUUACUCCUCCCUUUUACAGAUGGUCUCUCAAUCCCUUCUUCUUCCUCUUCAUCUUCAUCUUCUU
rnacentral:lncRNA from 1 species